GUAAUGAUAAAUGACUAGUGGACAUGGCAUCUGCCCGGUAAGCGGAACACUGUGGGUUCGAUUCCCAUCCAUGGACA